rnacentral:lncRNA from 1 species
AGCAACAGCCAGGACCCACGCUCAACAAAAAUGUGAUUUAAAAAUAAAAGUGAAAUAUACUUUCAAAUAUAGCUUACUAUCUAUAUAUCAUCAGCUAUAGAUAUUCCAAGGGAUAUAAUUAAGUAGAAAUAAGCAGCUGAACACAGUAAGGAGUGAAGAGCAAAGGAUAUUAAACUAAUAUAUUGGCAGAAAUAUUUAUGGAUUAAAAUGAGGAAUAACUGUGGCAGAUAUAAUGUAGAUGAACAGAGAGGGGAAAAUUGGAUAGACAGUCACUCCAGAGUCCACUGCAAUAUUCAAAGACAAUAGGCAUUAAGUAGCCAUAGGGAGAGGGAUCGUGUAGGCACAGUAGAGACAUAGCAAAGGCCUGUGUUUGGUAGCACUUCAGAUUUCACUCAUCCCAGCACCUCUCAAAAUGGUGCAAAAGAGUCUGCUCAGAGGCCAUACUUCUUUACUUUGUGGACAGUUGCUGAAACCAAUGGAAGCCUACUAGGAAAUUUUAGACUGUGUAAAUGGUAGCUCAUGCUAGGAAGUUGGGUCUGUCUUCUGCUUACACCUUGUUACAAGGUAAUAGUAGGUUCAUAUUCAUUUUAGCCCUCAGUUUGAAAAUUUGUCCUCUUGCUUAGAGGUCCCAUGCCAUGUCCUAGUCGAAGCCCAGAAAGAUCAGCUAUUCAGUAAGAGAAUGAGAUACAGUAAGCAAUCUGUAUAUGAGGCAGAGGUAGGACCAGAGUGGUUAUAAUUAACAAAAGAAAUUACUGAUCCAUGGUGAGAGUACCCAUACUGGUGUGGUAGGUUCUUUUUCUUCCUGGAGUCAAACUACUCAGGAUACUUAGCAUCCACUAUAUUAAUUCAGAGCAAAUUUCUGCCAUUAGGAUUUCAAGAGCCCCAAAGAGUAUAUGGUACAAGCAGCCUUUGCUGUACCUGGUCGGCAUCCAGCAGCAAAUACUACCCAACGCUGUAGGUGGUAUCUAUGGGGACAGGUAGAGACCAACUGGUCUGUAGGUUGGUUAUUUUUAUCGUCAUCCUCAGACAAGAAAAGUUAUUUUCCAAUGAGACUGGAAAGUUUGAGUUCUUGGCAACCAACACCCGAAUAGACAAUAAUAUUUGGGAUAAUUCAAAACGACUCCGAAGUUUGACAAGAUAAAUCGAACUGAUCUGAUCCUUUCUCCACUACACAAAGCUUUGAUGGUGACCUGCAGUGUUCAGUUCUGCAAUUCUUCUCCAUCCCUCCAUGCCCAGACAACUGACGCAAUGUCCCUUUGUCAUUAUGCAUAACCAUUGUUUCUCUCUCUCUCUGGUGUCCUUCAGUGUCUGAUUGGGAGAGUUGAUAGUACUUCCUGGUCUCUGACUCUGCUGUGACAAAUGAGUGACAUACAUUGAUAGGACUGUGCCUAGUAGUUGAUGGCAGUCCGUACAAGGUAGCAGGCUGUAGAAGACAGUAACAUACCAUGACUUUGAGCUUAUAGGAUGUAAGGUUCUCAAAGAUUUAAGCGCUUCUAGUCACAUUGGGAUUCAGAACAUGGAAUGCUGAAUUUUUAGUGGACUAUCAUAGACGUAGAGACUGAAGGAAGUCAAGGCUCUCAUACCAGGGGGUAAAAAAGACAACCUAAUAAAACGGCAGAACUCUAUAGUUUUAGGAGCCCUACACUGAGACUUUUUCAUCAAGAGGCAUGCUUUAUUUGUAACAAACUCAAGUUUGACUUUUCAACCUGCAUAUCAGGAUAUCUUUUAUUUAAAGCACUCAGUUCUGAUUUCUUUUCUAUAAUUUUUUUUCAAGGAACAAGAAUUCAAGUCAAUAUUCAGUCAUAAUUUUGGACCAAAUUAAAAUCCCUCUUGGCCUGAAGAAUAUAAUCUGUUCAUAUUACUUGGGUUUUGUAAUGCAUUUACAUGGCAGGCUUAUUACAGGUCUGAUGUGAGUUCUGCCUUCCUGGGGCAUGUGAUGCUGAGAAAAUCUGAUUAAACUUUGGGAAGGAGCAGCUGUUCUGCAAUAGUGGAUGAGCACGGGACCCAUUUUUCAGAACCUGACUGCAAGGCCUGGCACCCUCACCAGCCAAUGGAUGAUAAAUGAACUGUCCCUGAAUGCCAACUCCUGCGCUAAUAGCUUUAAAAUAUCAGUUGUUUAUGAGAAAGAAGUUGGGAGCUCUUAUCAAUUUUUCUGUCCCAGGGGUCCACAUAUACAUCAUUUUUUUUCCAUUGCUGUAAUGGCAGGCAGUGUUUUAAGGCAAGGGAAGAAAUCCAUUCACCAUUUAGAUGUUCUCCAUGGGUUAGUAAAAUCAUGCUUCUCACUUCAAAACAUAGUAGAGUGGGUUAACUAGUAAAUCCUUAUGUGAAAUGAGACAUGAAAUCCAGACCAUUCUUUGCUGAAUUUCCCUGUAAUAUUGGAAUUACAAUGCAGUUUCAUCUGGUAUUUGUAGAGGCAUGGAAUUCAAAACAAAUACAUGAACUUCAUAUCCCAGGCCAACGGCUUAUUUUUCAAAUAACAGUUAAACAGUCAAAUGUGACCAAAGGCUGUAGUGGGAAUUUUGGCUUCUCUGAAAAACACAGAAAUAUAAGAGUAGGUUUUCAUUUUAAUCCCAGGUGUGGGAUUUGAGGCUCUUUCAGCCUGUCCCCAGCAGCUGACUAUGAUUUGCCUUGUGCUCUGGCAGAGGCGUGGUUUUGCCAGCUGUAGAUAGUUUCUGUGAUUAUGUGAUGUUUGGAAUUCUGGGAACUUUUCAGAGGGCGUAUAAAUGCUAGGGCUCCAAGAGUCACAGUUGAUGGUUGGUUGAUGUUGAUUGCUGUUGGUCACACUUUGUUAAGUAGCUAUGUGAAAAGAAGAAACAAGAAGAAGAAAUUAGAUAUCCUGACAGAGAUCAACUUUCCCCAUGGAACUCAUUCCCCGUAACCAGCAGAAAGUAUCUAAUGAUAGCGCUGCCCUCUUUCCCCUCUAUCAUUUUUUUCUCUCCUACCUGGUAUUAGGGGGUUGAAAGUGUAGAAGACAUGGGUGGAAAAGAGUAGAAUAAAGAACCCACAAAGUAGGCAAAAGUCUGGUUACAAAUGCGUUGGAUGUGUCAUAUUUGAGGGUGUUAAUUUAAAGGUGCCAGCAUGGGCAGCUUUAUUGUUUUCAUCCUUUCUGAUUUCUAUCCUUAUCUGUUUGUUUUGGGGGCAUUUGAAUACUAAUUCUGAUGUGAAAGGCAAAUAUUGAGAUAGUCACACAUGGCCUGUUCUUGUAGCUGCUCAUCUUCAGUCUUUCCUUGUUGGGUUCAU